GAUGAACGCUAGCGGGAGGCCUAACACAUGCAAGCCGAGCGGGAUUUGUUGGUUAGCUUGCUAACUAACAAUGAGAGCGGCGUACGGGUGCGUAGCACGUGUGCAACCUGCCUUUAUCUGGGGGAUAGCCUUUCGAAAGGAAGAUUAAUACCCCAUAACAUAUUGAUUGGCAUCAGUUAAUAUUGAAAGCUCCGGCGGAUAGAGAUGGGCACGCGUAAGAUUAGCUAGUUGGUGAGGUAACGGCUCACCAAGGCUGCGAUCUUUAGGGGGCCUGAGAGGGUGAUCCCCCACACUGGGACUGAGACACGGACCAGACUCCUACGGGAGGCAGCAGUGAGGAAUAUUGGACAAUGGGUGAGAGCCUGAUCCAGCCAUCCCGCGUGAAGGACUAAGGACCUAUGGUUUGUAAACUUCUGUUAUACAGGGAUAAACCUACUCUCGUGAGGGUAGCUGAAGGUACUGUAUGAAUAAGCACCGGCUAACUCCGUG
rnacentral:rRNA from 1 species